rnacentral:tRNA from 1 species
AGUCGUAUGGUCUAAUGGUUAUGAUUUCUCGUUCACAGUGAUGUGUACCCAAUCCCGAGAAGGUUCCGUGUUCGAUCCACGGUACGACUA